CCAACAGGGAUUGCCUUAGUAACGGCGAGUGAAGCGGCAACAGCUCAAAUUUGAAAGCUGGCUCCUUUGGAGUCCGCGUUGUAAUUUGUAGAGGAUGAUUCGGCAAGGGCUCCCGCCUAAGUCUCCUGGAACGGAGCGUCAUAGAGGGUGAGAAUCCCGUAUGCGGUGGGCUGCCUAAGCCAUGUGAAUCUCCUUCGACGAGUCGAGUUGUUUGGGAAUGCAGCUCUAAAUGGGAGGUAAAUUUCUUCUAAAGCUAAAUACCGGCCAGAGACCGAUAGCGCACAAGUAGAGUGAUCGAAAGAUGAAAAGCACUUUGGAAAGAGAGUUAAAAAGUACGUGAAAUUGUUGAAAGGGAAGCGCUUGCAGCCAGACUUGUCCGCAGUUGCUCAGCCGGNCUCCUGACCGGUGUACUCUUCUGCGGCCAGGCCAGCAUCAGUUCGGGCGGUCGGAUAAAGACCUCGGGAAUGUAGCUCCUCUCGGGGAGUGUUAUAGCCCGGGGUGGAAUGCGGCCAGCCUGGACUGAGGAUCUCGCUUCGGCUAGGAUGCUGGCGUAAUGGCUGUAAGCGGCCCGUCUUGAAACACGGACC
rnacentral:rRNA from 1 species